rnacentral:rRNA from 1 species
UACGUAGGGGGCAAGCGUUGUUCGGAAUUACUGGGCGUAAAGCGCACGUAGGCGGAUAUUUAAGUCAGGGGUGAAAUCCCAGAGCUCAACUCUGGAACUGCCUUUGAUACUGGGUAUCUUGAGUAUGGAAGAGGUAAGUGGAAUUGCGAGUGUAGAGGUGAAAUUCGUAGAUAUUCGCAGGAACACCAGUGGCGAAGGCGGCUUACUGGUCCAUAACUGACGCUGAGGUGCGAAAGCGUGGGGAGCAAACAGG